rnacentral:rRNA from 1 species
GAUGAACGCUGGCGGCGUGCCUAAUACAUGCAAGUCGAGCGAACAGACGAGGAGCUUGCUCCUCUGACGUUAGCGGCGGACGGGUGAGUAACACGUGGAUAACCUACCUAUAAGACUGGGAUAACUUCGGGAAACCGGAGCUAAUACCGGAUAAUAUAUUAAACCGCAUGGUUCAAUAGUGAAAGACGGUUUUGCUGUCACUUAUAGAUGGAUCCGCGCCGCAUUAGCUAGUUGGUAAGGUAACGGCUUACCUAGGCAACGAUGCGUAGCCGACCUGAGAGGGUGAUCGGCCACACUGGAACUGAGACACGGUCCAGACUCCUACGGGAGGCAGCAGUAGGGAAUCUUCCGCAAUGGGCGAAAGCCUGACGGAGCAACGCCGCGUGAGUGAUGAAGGUCUUCGGAUCGUAAAACUCUGUUAUUAGGGAAGAACAAAUGUGUAAGUAACUAUGCACGUCUUGACGGUACCUAAUCAGAAAGCCACGGCUAACUACGUG